rnacentral:rRNA from 1 species
GACGAACGCUGGCGGCGUGCUUAACACAUGCAAGUCGAACGGAAAGGCCCUGCUUUUGUGGGGUGCUCGAGUGGUGAACGGGUGGGUAACACGUGAGUAACCUGCCCUUGACUUUGGGAUAACUUCAGGAAACUGGGGCUAAUACCGGAUAGGAGCUCCUGCUGCAUGGUGGGGGUUGGAAAGUUUCGGCGGUUGGGGAUGGACUCGCGGCUUAUCAGCUUGUUGGUGGGGUAGUGGCUUACCAAGGCUUUGACGGGUAGCCGGCCUGAGAGGGUGACCGGCCACAUUGGGACUGAGAUACGGCCCAGACUCCUACGGGAGGCAGCAGUGGGGAAUAUUGCACAAUGGGCGGAAGCCUGAUGCAGCAACGCCGCGUGCGGGAUGACGGCCUUCGGGUUGUAAACCGCUUUCGCCUGUGACGAAGCGUGAGUGACGGUAAUGGGUAAAGAAGCACCGGCUAACUACGUG